UUAAAUUGAAGAGUUUGAUCAUGGCUCAGAUUGAACGCUGGCGGCAGGCCUAACACAUGCAAGUCGAACGGUAACAGAAAGAAGCUUGCUUCUUUGCUGACGAGUGGCGGACGGGUGAGUAAUGUCUGGGAAACUGCCUGAUGGAGGGGGAUAACUACUGGAAACGGUAGCUAAUACCGCAUAACGUCGCAAGACCAAAGAGGGGGACCUUCGGGCCUCUUGCCAUCGGAUGUGCCCAGAUGGGAUUAGCUAGUAGGUGGGGUAACGGCUCACCUAGGCGACGAUCCCUAGCUGGUCUGAGAGGAUGACCAGCCACACUGGAACUGAGACACGGUCCAGACUCCUACGGGAGGCAGCAGUGGGGAAUAUUGGCACAAUGGGCGCAAGGCCUGAUGCAGCCAUGCCCGCGUGUAU
rnacentral:rRNA from 1 species